CAAUAGGCCCUUCUCAGGGCUACUAUAAAACCUCAAGAUGCUAUUU
rfam:Operophtera brumata OBRT01_Sc00482, whole genome shotgun sequence.